CUUCGUGAUGAUAAAGGGCCAAUGGCCCGAUCCAAUAACCCAGCUCGUCGAAUGCCUCGUCAACAACGCAGAGUGCAUACUGAGAUAAAAAACCCAUUCUGACAA
rnacentral:snoRNA from 1 species